rnacentral:rRNA from 1 species
AUUGAACGCUGGCGGCAUGCUUUACACAUGCAAGUCGGACGAGUGGCGAACGGGUGAGUAACAUAUCGGAACGUACCGAGUAAUGGGGGAUAACUACUCGAAAGAUUAGCUAAUACCGCAUACUAUUCGAGCGGCCGAUAUCUGAUUAGCUGGUUGGUGGGGUAAAGGCUUACCAAGGCGACGAUCAGUAGCUGGUCUGAGAGGAUGAUCCGCCACACUGGGACUGAGACACGGCCCAGACUCCUACGGGAGGCAGCAGUGGGGAAUUUUGGACAAUGGGCGCAAGCCUGAUCCAGCCAUGCCGCGUGUGUGAAGAAGGCCUUCGGGUUGUAAAGGACUUUUGUCAGGGAAGCGGUACCUGCAGAAUAAGCACCGGCUAAAUACGUGCCAGCAGCCGCGGUAAUAC